rnacentral:rRNA from 1 species
UACGUAGGGUGCAAGCGUUGUCCGGAAUUAUUGGGCGUAAAGAGCUCGUAGGCGGUUUGUCGCGUCUGCUGUGAAAACGCGAGGCUCAACCUCGCGCCUGCAGUGGGUACGGGCAGACUAGAGUGCGGUAGGGGAGAUUGGAAUUCCUGGUGUAGCGGUGGAAUGCGCAGAUAUCAGGAGGAACACCGAUGGCGAAGGCGGGACUCUGGGCCGAUACUGACGCUGAGGAGCGAAAGCGUGGGGAGCAAACAGG